UCUUAAGUGAGGUUCCAUUUAUUUUAUAGUUUUGUGUUAAUUAGUUAUAUCCUGUUUUGGGUUUUAUGGUUUUUUUCCCCCUUGUCCAAGAUGAUUUUCCCUUUUGCAAGCAACCAAUCCUAAGAUGCUCUGCACGGCCCUUGGCUGCUGUGCCAGCUUCCAGCAUUUGUUAUCUUAGUGCAGAACCUGCCUUUCCCAGUGCUGGAGUUCCCAACAAUUCUCUUGCAAUCCUCACCCUGCAGGUUCUGGGGGCAAUCCGGGCUGAACUGCCCAGCAGGGGCACCCCACAGCAGCUGGCUCAACUCAGGAAACUCCGUGGGAUCUCAAUGUUAGAUGAUGCCUGUGUGGAAAAGGAGGAGAAGCUCACUGGCAAAGCAGUGUUUUUCCUGAGGAUAUCGCACAUCCACGCUGACACAAGUGAGUGUGAAUGCAGUUUUACUGAGCCCAGGAUCCCAGUUCCUCAGUCCUGCAAGUCACCUCAGCUCCCAUGGGCUUCAAUAAGAUCAGAACUUGCACUGCAUCUCUUGAUGCCAGGAACGAGGUGGAAGAAGUCUGGAUAACUGGAUGCAGGCACUACUCAAUUGCUCCCAGCUGCACAAUUAUCCUUAAAUGCCCACAGGGCCGUGGUUAAAGAUGGCACAUAGGCACAUGGAAGCUCAGAAAUCUCUGAAAGCAGAGUAACAUUUGUACCACUUUGAAUAUUUUCUGAGGUUUUUCUGUAUUAAGAAGCUCAUGUAGUCCCAGCUGAGAAGAUGAACGGAUAUGAAGACUUAAAGAUCAAGACUUCAGUUCUGUGCAAUACUGCCAGGAGGUUUUUAUGAUUUAGAAUUCAGGCUACUCAACACAAGGCCUCUCCUGAGUGCUGCAAUUUCAUCUGUAAUGUCCCUAAAGGGCCAGAACUCAACAGGCUCAGGCAUAGACCAUCUAAACCGCUGUCAGAACACCAGAGUUCUGAGGCAGGUGCUGUGUAUGGUCUUUAAGGCUGCUUGUGAUAGAGAGAAGUUUUCUAUAAAAGUUAACUUGCCAUCUGAAUGUCUCUAGCAGCUUCCUCCCUUGUGUACUACAGCAAACUUAAACAGUGCAUCCACUUUGGAGGCCACGGACACUUAGGAACUUGAUUUACAAAUUCUACGCAGUGUGAGGUCAAACACAUUGCAUAUUCAGAAGCCAGAAGAUAGCAAUAAAUCC
rnacentral:lncRNA from 12 species